rnacentral:lncRNA from 1 species
GGGAGCCCUUCCCGAGCGCCGCCCGCCCCCGCCCGGUCCCCGUAGCGGCCGGGCCGAGGGGGGCGAGCGGCCCCGGCGGGAGGCGGACGGGGAGCCACUUACUGCGCCGCUGCCCCGCGGGGGGACUUCGCCUCUUCCCGGCUCUUCCCGGCUCGACAGGGGACCCAGCUCCUGCGAUCGCGGCCGCGGCGAGUCGGGACGGCGCAGGGCUCCUCGCAGAAACAAGCUCAAGCCAUCUUCUUGAGCCUCUUUGGGCCCUCUUGGCAAGGACAGGGGUGUUUCCUCUUGGAAGAAAGCAGCAGGAUGCCACAGGAGUGGAGCUGUUAGUGGAAUUCUUGAAAGAAACUAAGACUUCAGUCAAAACAUCUUUACUGCUUACUGAUACACUAAAUGAUGACGAAGAAGCAAAGCACUCAACAAAUCCAUCAACACACUGUUUUGCAGCUUUCCAUUGAAUUCCCAAAGGUGUUCUGUGCAGUUUUUCACUGAAAGCAAGAGUCCUACACUGCAUAUCCCUG